CCUACGGGUGGCAGCAGUGGGGAAUAUUGGGCAAUGGAGGAAAGUCUGACCCAGCAACGCCGCGUGAAGGAUGAAGGUCUUCGGAUUGUAAAGUUCUUUUAUUGAGGAAGAAGAAAGUGACGGUACCUAAUGAAUAAGCCUCGGCUAACUACGUGCCAGCAGCCGCGGUAAUACGUAGGUGGCAAGCGUUAUCCGGAUUUACUGGGCGUAAAGGGCGCGUAGGCGGGUCGGCAAGUUAGAAGUGAAACCCAUGGGCUCAACCUAGGAACUGCUAUUAAAACUGUUGGUCUUGAGUGAAGGAGGGGCAAGCGGAAUUCCGAGUGUAGCGGUGGAAUGCGUAGAGAUAAGGAGGAACACCAGUGGCGAAGGCGGGCUGCUAGACUGUAACUGACACUGAGGCGCGAAAGCGUGGGGAGCAAACAGGAUUAGAUACCCUGGUAGUC
rnacentral:rRNA from 1 species